GCCAGUGUGGCAUAGUGGUUUGAGUACUGGACUACAACUCUGGAGAUCAGGGUUAGAUUCCCCGCUUAGCCA
rnacentral:tRNA from 1 species